rnacentral:rRNA from 1 species
GAUGAACGCUAGCUACAGGCUUAACACAUGCAAGUCGCAGGGUAACAUGAGGAAAGCUUGCUUUCCUUGAUGACGACUGGCGCACGGGUGAGUAACGCGUAUCCAACCUUCCCAUAACUACGGGAUAACCCGUUGAAAGACGGCCUAAUACCGUAUGACAUCGUUUGCUGACAUCAAAUAACGAUUAAAGGUUUAGCGGUUAUGGAUGGGGAUGCGUCUGAUUAGCUUGUUGGCGGGGUAACGGCCCACCAAGGCGACGAUCAGUAGGGGUUCUGAGAGGAAGGUCCCCCACAUUGGAACUGAGACACGGUCCAAACUCCUACGGGAGGCAGCAGUGAGGAAUAUUGGUCAAUGGGCGAGAGCCUGAACCAGCCAAGUAGCGUGCAGGACGACGGCCCUAUGGGUUGUAAACUGCUUUUAUGUGGGGAUAAAGUGCGUGACGUGUCAUGCAUUGCAGGUACCACAUGAAUAAGGACCGGCUAAUUCCGUGCCAGCAGCCGCGGUAAUACGGAAGGUCCGGGCGUUAUCCGGAUUUAUUGGGUUUAAAGGGAGCGUAGGCUGUCUAUUAAGCGUGUUGUGAAAUUUACCGGCUCAACCGGUGGCUUGCAGCGCGAACUGGUCGACUUGAGUAUGCAGGAAGUAGGCGGAAUUCAUGGUGUAGCGGUGAAAUGCUUAGAUAUCAUGACGAACUCCGAUUGCGCAGGCAGCUUACUGUAGCAUAACUGACGCUGAUGCUCGAAAGUGCGGGUAUCAAACAGG